GAUUUAUACGAUAAGCCAAAAGUGGAAGGUACGAAUCACAACAAAGCUUUGGUUCAUUGGUUUAUUUAUUCAGCAUCUCUAACAAUGUUUUUAUGAUUUUCGUUUGGUUCCGAAACUACGAACAUGACUUAUCUGAGAAUAAGAUCCAAUGCUUCCAUGGCUUAGGGUUUGCACUGAGGAUGUGUCUUUUACAAAUCAUCUUUCUCCCGAGAAAGAUGGAGUUGGCUCAAGUAAAAACAAGCACUGGGAUGGCGAUGUUGGAUGGUUUGAGGUUGAGAAACAUUUUGAGAUUCUUACGAAUUCGAGGGAGGAUGGUUUGCUUCAUCGCCGGUAUAUUAUUAGCUUGGUAUAACUUUUACCAGAACCUUCGCCGGUAUGUGUG